GCCAGACUCCUACGGGAGGCAGCAGUGGGGAAUAUUGCACAAUGGGGGAAACCCUGAUGCAGCGACGCCGCGUGAGCGAUGAAGUAUUUCGGUAUGUAAAGCUCUAUCAGCAGGGAAGAAGAUGACGGUACCUGACUAAGAAGCCCCGGCUAACUACGUGCCAGCAGCCGCGGUAAUACGUAGGGGGCAAGCGUUAUCCGGAUUCACUGGGUGUAAAGGGAGCGUAGGCGGUUUAGCAAGUCAGAAGUGAAAGCCCGGGGCUCAACUCCGGGACUGCUUUUGAAACUGUUGAACUAGAUUGCAGGAGAGGUAAGUGGAAUUCCUAGUGUAGCGGUGAAAUGCGUAGAUAUUAGGAGGAGCACCAGUGGCGAAGGCGGCGUACUGGACUGUAAAUGACGCUGAGGCUCGAAAGCGUGGGGAGCAAACAGGAUUAGAUACCCCCGUAGCC
rnacentral:rRNA from 1 species